rnacentral:misc_RNA from 1 species
CCAAACUUGGUCAUUUAGAGGAAGUGUAAGUCGUAACAAGGUUUCCGUAGGUGAACCUGCGGAAGGAUCAUUGCAAGUAGUUGGUUGGGCAGGGCCCAGUGGAGCGGGCGAGCAGGACUCGUCGUUCCACACGUAUGCGCUUGAAGAGUAGACAGUUUGUGUGGUUGUUGGUUGACGACGAGUCGUUGGUUGACGAUGUUGGUUGACGAUGAGUGGUUGGUUGACAGACAGAGAUAGGAGAAAUAGAGACGCACUUUUAACAAUGGAUCUCUUGGCUCUUGCAUCGAUGAAGAACGCAGC